rnacentral:rRNA from 1 species
UACGUAGGGUGCGAGCGUUGUCCGGAAUUAUUGGGCGUAAAGGGCUCGUAGGCGGUUUGUCGCGUCGGGAGUGAAAACUCAGGGCUUAACCCUGAGCCUGCUUCCGAUACGGGCAGACUAGAGGUAUGCAGGGGAGAACGGAAUUCCUGGUGUAGCGGUGAAAUGCGCAGAUAUCAGGAGGAACACCGGUGGCGAAGGCGGGUCUCUGGGCCGAUAUUGACGCUGAGGAGCGAAAGCGUGGGGAGCAAACAGG